GCAUCCCAAUUUAAGUUUCAUCGAUUUCCACCCUUAAAGCCCUUGAUUUCAAGCCAUUUCCAUGGAGAUUUCAUGGGGAUUCCAUGUUGGAUUUGGCUGCGAGACCUCACCGAAGUCAAGAUGAUGAUCUCCAACCCUUCUUCUCCUACCUUCUCUAGUUCUAAGGCUUGACUAUUUUUCAUUGAUCAUGAUCAUCUAUAAUUUUUAUGUUAAUCUUGAGAAUG
rnacentral:lncRNA from 1 species